CAGUUAGGACACAGCAUGGUCAUGUGGGUCCCUUUUCAGUUCGUAGGGCUUCUGCUGCUCUGGAUCCCAGGUGCCAGAUGUGACACCCAGAUGACCCAGUCUCCAUCCUCCCUGUCUGCAUCUCCAGGAGACAAAAUCACCAUCACUUGCAGGGCCAGUCAGGGCAUUAGCACAAAUUUACAGUGGUAUCAGCAGAAACCAGGGAAAGCUCCUAAGCUCCUGAUCUAUGGUGCUAACAAUUUGCAAUCUGGGGUCCCCUCAAGGUUCAGUGGCAGUGGAUCGGGAUCAGAUUUCACUCUUACCAUCAGCAGCCUGGAUCAUGAAGAUGUUGCAACUUAUUGCUGUCAACAGACUAAUAGUUACCCUCCCACAGUGAUACAAGUCAUAACAUAA